rnacentral:rRNA from 1 species
GACGAACCGUGCGACCGUUGUUCGGAAUCACUGGGCGUAAAGCGCACGUAGGCGGAUUGUUAAGUCAGGGGUGAAAUCCUGGAGCUCAACUCCAGAACUGCCUUUGAUACUGGCGAUCUCGAGUCCGGGAGAGGUGAGUGGAACUGCGAGUGUAGAGGUGAAAUUCGUAGAUAUUCGCAAGAACACCAGUGGCGAAGGCGGCUCACUGGCCCGGUACUGACGCUGAGGUGCGAAAGCGUGGGGAGCAAACAGG